UACGAAGGGGGCUAGCGUUGUUCGGAAUUACUGGGCGUAAAGCGCGCGCAGGCGGUUCUUCAAGUCAGAGGUGAAAGCCCAGAGCUCAACUCUGGAAUGGCCUUUGAGACUAGAGAACUAGGGUACGGGAGAGGUGAGUGGAAUUCCGAGUGUAGAGGUGAAAUUCGUAGAUAUUCGGAAGAACACCAGUGGCGAAGGCGGCUCACUGGCCCGUUACCGACGCUGAGGAGCGAAAGCGUGGGGAGCGAACAGG
rnacentral:rRNA from 1 species